rnacentral:lncRNA from 1 species
UUGUAAGGUAUACAGAAUGUUUGUGUUUUGUGGCAGUUAGGAUUUAGUAUACACCCUGUGCAUCAGGGUUUAUAAGUAUUAAAUAUUUUUCAUGAAUUUUAAAGUUCCUUUCUAAUGGCGUGCUUAAAAUGACUGAAAAAGAUGUUUCAUUUGAAUGUUUUCAUAGAUUCAUCAUACAUUGCUUUGUAUAAAAAUGACAAUCAUUAAUGUAAAAGUUUAAUGUAUAAAGACCACUUCUAUAGUAAUAGUAACAUUUUUUAAAGCCCAUUGUGUAUUCCUCAGUUUGCACCAGUUUGCUUUUUAUAAAUUUUAUUGAGAUCAAAAUAUACCAUACAAUUCCCUCUUCCUCUCUUUUCUUUUCUUUCUUUGUAUGUGGAGGUGUGUCGGGGGGAGCUGGAACUGGAGAUUGAACCCAGCAACACUCUGACAUUGAGCUGCAACUCCAGCCCUUUUUGUUGUUUUCAGAUAGGGUCUCACUAAGUUGCCCGGGAUGGUCUUUAACUUGCAUUCCUCCUGCCUCUGCCUCCCAAGAAGCUGGUGUUACAGGCCUGUGCCACCAGGCCUAGCAGAGUAAAACUCAUGUUUAAAUUUAAGCGUACAGUUUGAUUAGUUUUGACAUAUAUCUAGGCCUUUAUAACUAUCAUCAUAAUCAAGAUAAUGAACAUUUUAAAAUGUUUCCUUGUCUCCCUUUGUAGUCCAUCCUUUUCUAAAUCGC